UACGUAGGGUGCGAGCGUUGUCCGGAAUUAUUGGGCGUAAAGGGCUCGUAGGCGGUUUGUCGCGUCGGGAGUGAAAACCCAGGGCUUAACCCUGGGCUGGCUUCCGAUACGGGCAGACUAGAGGUAUGCAGGGGAGAACGGAAUUCCCGGUGUAGCGGUGAAAUGCGCAGAUAUCGGGAGGAACACCAAUGGCGAAGGCAGCUUGCUGGGACGGUACUGACGCUGAGACGCGAAAGCGUGGGGAGCAAACAGG
rnacentral:rRNA from 1 species